UAUUGCACAAUGGGGGGAACCCUGAUGCGGCGACGCCGCGCGAGUGAAGAAGUAUUUCGGUAUGUUAAGCGCUAUCAGCAGGGAAGAAAAUGACGGUACCUGAUUAAGAAGCCCCGGCUAACUACGUGCCAGCAGACGCGGUAAUACGUAGGGGGCAAGCGUUAUCCGGAUUUACUGGGUGUAAAGGGAGCGUAGACGGUGAUGCAAGUCAGAAGUGAAAGCCCGAGGCUCAACUCCGGGACUGCUUUUGAAACUGUGUGACUGGAGUGCAGGAGAGGUAAGCGGAAUUCCUGGUGUAGCGGUGAAAUGCGUAGAUAUCAGGAGGAACACCAGUGGCGAAGGCGGCUUACUGGACUGUAACUGACGUUGAGGCUCGAAAGCGUGGGGAGCAAACAGA
rnacentral:rRNA from 1 species